GGGAGUUGGAUUUGCAAGCGAGUGUAGGAGGUUAGCCGUAGUUCAGCAUUAGCAUAUAGCAUUAGCAUAUCCUAGUCUUUAGCGUAGCCUUUAGUGUUAUACAUACUUAUUUAGUGUAAGCUUGGCUGUUGGAUAGUGUAGUUUAGUUAGUGUUUGGCUCUUAGUGUAAUUAGGAAAGUAGUUCAGGUUUAGUGCUCCAUAUCGUGUUAGUAUGCUGUGAGAAGGUGUAGUGUAGUAUGGUUGCGGUGGCUCUGUGGGGUUGUACUCCUUUCCGCUGGACUUAAAAAUUAGGCGCCAGUGGUUGCGUGUCUGGAAAACUUUCAGCUCCCGCCUGGUGCUGUAGUUUGCAACCAGCAUUUUACCCGCGAUUCUGCACUUCUCCGUUUCAAGAGGGAGGCAAUGCCCACCGUGGCUCUUCCGCGAUUUAGAUGCAGCCCACCGACUCUGCUCCCCCACCAUGACAGGCUCCAGUCUGAGGCUAAAUCUACCCAAGACACUGGCUGUCAGACUGAUUUAGUAAUCUGCAAGAAUGCACUUGUCCAGGCUGACGUGGUGUUACCCGUAGCAAAGAGCUCACAGCCUCAGUGUGUCUGGUGACACAGAGACCAUGAUGGAAAUUCAUCUUCCAGAAGGUCCCAGAGCAGCAUCCACACCCCCUGAAAAGACCAAGAUGUGAGGUGUCUGCUGUCGAUUCCAGCUUCCACCUCAGUGAUAGUGCAAGUAUGUGAUUACAUCAUGACAUCAUGAAGGAGGCUACUGAUUCUGGCCCUGUGACACUUGGUGGUGACGUGUGAGCUGAUUCACCUGGUAAAUAACUUUUACAUUAAAUAUUUUGUUCUUUGCUAUCAAAGGUAAAUUAACUAAUAACCUGCAUUAUUGCAGGACACUCAGCAAAAUAUGGACUCUACACCAUGAGGCAGGCACACGUUAAUAACUCUAUAAGAGCACAUAAGCCUGGCUGAUCACCUGAUAACUCCUGUCAUCUGGUUAUGACAGCAUGAGGAUGUCCUCACACACCUGUAACCUAUCAGCUCAUCUGGCAGAAUAGAGAGAGAAGAGACAACGCCACAUCUCCUGUUCCUGGAAAGCCUUCAGCCAUCCUUCGAUGACUGAGAACCUCCAUCAGCUCUGUCUCCUGUCUGCCUACAAUUAUUAUAAUAAAUAUUGUGUUUGACAAGUUUUUUGUCCUGCCAAAUAUCUCAUUUUG